GACAAGCUGAAGACUUAGCCAAUAGUUAGCAUCAACCUCUGUUAUUUGGCAGAAUGAGUUUUCAAAUGAUUGUAACACUGUCUUCAAAUUUCCCUGAUAUUGAGUGAAGCAGAAACGAGCUCUCUCUGAAAAACCCUGGCCAAUAUGCAGAUUUGAUGAAGACAGAAUGAUAUUUGACAAACUGGUGAAGUUCUCUUUUUGAAGACCUAAGAUUUUGACUGGAAUUGCCAGAAUACUUCAAUACAUAUUUAAGCCUAGACAAUAAUCAUUAGGCUAGGGAUUCCAUCCAUCCUGAAGCAGGUGAACCCAACAGUAAAGUUAUAGGGACCAUACAACUUGAAACAUCUCUGACUGCUUAAUGAUACCAGAUGCUCUGCUGAAAAACUUUUGAAAGUGUUCCUUAAACCUCGAGAUAUUUUUGAUUUCUGCUCUGGAUAUUUCUUGGAAUAGAAAUCUUAGACUACUAUGUGUCUUCUGUAUCUGACUCUACUGGCACAAUUUCUCUGACUCAUGACUCCAAGGUUGGAGAAUAAGGAAUCCUUGGCAGAGAAACUUCUGUGGCUGGCUUUUAAAUGCUUUUUCCCCUCUUUGUUCCAUGAGUCCCUUAAUUGUUAUGUUGAAGGUACUAGACAAUAUUUUUCACCUUUCCUUUUAACCUAAUCUAGUAUUAGGCUUUAUUUAUAUAAGUUAUUUGUAUUCAUAUCUGAGAGAUGCAUAGCAAUUUUGAUCACUAAUAUAGACAUUAUGUAAUUUACCAAAAAAUAGUAAUAUGGAAAUAACUUUAUUUUUCUCCUCUCAAGAUGCUUAUUAUGACUCAAAAGAUCCCAUGAGACUAUAUAUUCUGUUCAACUUAUUAUCGAAGAAAAUUCCAUAUUUUGUUUUAAGUCUGAAAACACAGUUUUGAUAUUUCCUUAGCAUACUUGUGCAUUUGCAAAUUCUUUCAAAAAAAGCCCUACUCAAGGGAGUCAAAUUUGUUUAAUUUCUAUCAAAAGUUAUAAUUUUAUUUUGUUUACCCUGUUGAUUUCUGUCAAUAUAUUCUUAUUAAUGACAAACUAUUGUGUUAAUAUUUUUACAUUUAACUACAUGCUAUUUACUUGGAAUCAAUAUUACCAAUAUACUGCAAAAUUUAUUAUAUGGUUUCAAUAGUUGCAUAAACAUUUAAAGGAAAAAAAUAGGAGUCACAUCCAAUUUGUCUUUUUUUUCUUUUAAUGGAACAGGGAUGUAACAAUGCUGCUUAGAACUUGUUUAUAUUAUCAGCAUAUUACAUAGGCAACACAUAAAAGUAAAUCAAUUUGUACAUGAAAAUUGAUAAUAUAAAUAAAGACACUGGGAAGUAAACUCUAAUAUUUCAGCUUUUUUGGUGUUUUAAUUUAUGUCUGUGUUUUUUUUGGUUAAUGGUUGGCAUUUGGUCUUAAUUUCUCCAGAUUGUUAGUUUUCUUGAUAUCAGAAGGUAAUUAUAUAAUCCAACUCACCCGGCUGAUAUAGCAUUUUCUAAUCUGUCGUGAAGUAGGUACAUUCUUCUUCUUCUGUUUUUUUUUUUUUUUUUUUUUUUUUUGAGAUGGAUUUUUGUUCUUGUCACCCAGGCUGGAGUGCAGUGGCACAAUCUCAGCUCACUACAACCUCCGCCUCCCAUGUUCAAGCGAUUCUCGUGCCUCAGCUGCCCAAGUAGCUGGGAUUGCAGGUGCCCGCCACCACACCCAGCUAAUUUUUGUAUUUUUGGUAGAGUUUGGGUUACACUGCCAGAAUGGUCUUAAACCCCUGACCUCAGGUGAUCAACCCUUCUUGGCCUCCCAAAGAGCUGUGUGAACCACCACACCCCAUCGGUAAAUUCUUAAACGGAGGCAGAAUGAUUGGCUGAGAAUUCUGUCACUUUCUGCUCUUAAAAUACUGUCUUCCUUACAACUUUGUGUGACUUUUGUAGAUAGGCUAAAAAAUUUGUUGGUUUUCCUCAACUAUUAAAGUAGGAAAAAUAUUAGGAAUUUCCGAGCACUAUAUAAAAAUGUUAAGACAAUAAAAUAGAUUAUAUUCCUUAAAAUGGCAAAUAAAAUAUUGAUUCUUUCAGAAAUUUUCUCAAAAUUGAAACUGGACAUGAGUCUUCCAUUGUAUUGACAGAAAACAACAUUUGUGAAAUAUUAAAUUUUAUAUAAUUUUAUGAAUGCAUCUUUUUAAUGGCUGGCCUCUGUGAUUUGGAUUGAAGAUGGAUUAAUCUAUAAGGAAUCACUUCAUAAAACUAUAAGUAACA